UCUAUAUAGUAACCUGAAGGUAGUGGACAGGACAGCAGCUUCCUCUAUAUAGUAACCGGAAGGUAGUGGACAGGUGUUACAGCUUCCUCUAUAUAGUAACCUGAAGGUAGUGGACAGGUGAUACAGCUUCCUCUAUAUAGUAACCUGAAGGUAGUGGACAGGACAGCAGCUUCCUCUAUAUAGUAACCUGAAGGUAGUGGACAGGUGAUACAGCUUCCUCUAUAUAUUAACCUGAAGGUAGUGGACAGGUGAUACAGCUUCCUCUAUAUAGUAACCUGAAGGUAGUGGACAGGACAGCAGCUUCCUCUAUAUAGUAACCUGAAGGUAGUGGACAGGUGAUACAGCUUCCUCUAUAUAGUAACCUGAAGGUAGUGGACAGGUGAUACAGCUUCCACUAUAUAGUAACCUGAAGGUAGUGGACAGGUGAUACAGCUUCCUCUAUAUAGUAACCUGAAGGUAGUGGACAGGACAGCAGCUUCCUCUAUAUAGUAACCUGAAGGUAGUGGACAGGUGAUACAGCUUCCUCUAUAUAUUAACCUGAAGGUAGUGGACAGGACAGCAGCUUCCUCUAUAUAGUAACCUGAAGGUAGUGGACAGGUGAUACAGCUUCCUCUAUAUAUUAACCUGAAGGUAGUGGACAGGACAGCAGCUUCCUCUAUAUAGUAACCUGAAGGUAGUGGACAGGUGAUACAGCUUCCUCUAUAUAGUAACCUGAAGGUAGUGGACAGGACAGCAGCUUCCUCUAUAUAGUAACCUGAAGGUAGUGGACAGGUGAUACAGCUUCCUCUAUAUAGUAACCUGAAGGUAGUGGACAGGACAGCAGCUUCCUCUAUAUAGUAACCUGAAGGUAGUGGACAGGACAGCAGCUUCCUCUAUAUAGUAACCUGAAGGUAGUGGACAGGUGAUACAGCUUCCUCUAUAUAGUAACCUGAAGGUAGUGGACAGGACAGCAGCUUCCUCUAUAUAGUAACCUGAAGGUAGUGGACAGGUGAUACAGCUUCCUCUAUAUAGUAACCUGAAGGUAGUGGACAGGUGAUACAGCUUCCUCUAUAUAGUAACCUGAAGGUAGUGGACAGGUGAUACAGCUUCCUCUAUAUAGUAACCUGAAGGUAGUGGACAGGUGAUACAGCUUCCUCUAUAUAGUAACCUGAAGGUAGUGGACAGGUGAUACAGCUUCCACUAUAUAGUAACCUGAAGGUAGUGGACAGGUGAUACAGCUUCCUCUAUAUAUUAACCUGAAGGUAGUGGACAGGACAGCAGCUUCCUCUAUAUAGUAACCUGAAGGUAGUGGACAGGUGAUACAGCUUCCUCUAUAUAGUAACCUGAAGGUAGUGGACAGGUGAUACAGCUUCCUCUAUAUAUUAACCUGAAGGUAGUGGACAGGACAGCAGCUUCCUCUAUAUAUUAACCUGAAGGUAGUGGACAGGUGAUACAGCUUCCUCUAUAUAGUAACCUGAAGGUAGUGGACAGGUGAUACAGCUUCCUCUAUAUAUUAACCUGAAGGUAGUGGACAGGUGAUACAGCUUCCUCUAUAUAGUAACCUGAAGGUAGUGGACAGGUGAUACAGCUUCCUCUAUAUAGUAACCUGAAGGCAGAGGACAGGUGAAACUAACAGCUUCCUGUCUA